UGAAAUUUUCCACGAGCAUCCAGGCCCUCCA
rnacentral:piRNA from 1 species